GAUGAACGCUAGCGGCAGGCCUAAUACAUGCAAGUCGAGGGGCAGCACAGGUAGCAAUACUGGGUGGCGACCGGCAAACGGGUGCGGAACACGUGCGCAACCUUCCUUUGAGCGGGGAAUAGCCCAUAGAAAUGUGGAUUAAUACCCGUAACUAUCGUUGUCCACGGCGAUCUGGUGGCGGAGUAAGACUCCGGCCGACC
rnacentral:rRNA from 1 species